rnacentral:rRNA from 1 species
AACGAACGCUGGCGGCAGGCUUAACACAUGCAAGUCGAGCGCCCCGCAAGGGGAGCGGCAGACGGGUGAGUAACGCGUGGGAAUCUACCGUGCCCUACGGAAUAACGCAUGGAAACGUGUGCUAAUUCCGUAUACGCACUACGGGGGAAAGAUUUAUCGGGGUAUGAUGAGCCCCCGUUGGAUUAGCUAGUUGGUGGGGUAAAGGCCUACCAAGGCGACGAUCCAUAGCUGGUCUGAGAGGAUGAUCAGCCACAUUGGGACUGAGACACGGCCCAAACUCCUACGGGAGACAGCAGUGGGGAAUAUUGGACAAUGGGCGCAAGCCUGAUCCAGCCAUGCCGCGUGAGUGAUGAAGGUCUUAGGAUUGUAAAGCUCUUUCACCGGUGAAGAUAAUGACGGUAACCGGAGAAGAAGCCCCGGCUAACUUCGUGCCAGCAGCCGCAGUAA